AUGAACGCUAGCUACAGGCUUAACACAUGCAAGUCGAGGGGCAGCAUGGUCUUAGCUUGCUAAGGCCGAUGGCGACCGGCGCACGGGUGAGUAACACGUAUCCAACCUGCCGUCUACUCUUGGACAGCCUUCUGAAAGGAAGAUUAAUACAAGAUGGCAUCAUGAGUCCGCAUGUUCACAUGAUUAAAGGUAUUCCGGUAGACGAUGGGGAUGCGUUCCAUUAGAUAGUAGGCGGGGUAACGGCCCACCUAGUCUUCGAUGGAUAGGGGUUCUGAGAGGAAGGUCCCCCACAUUGGAACUGAGACACGGUCCAAACUCCUACGGGAGGCAGCAGUGAGGAAUAUUGGUCAAUGGGCGAGAGCCUGAACCAGCCAAGUAGCGUGAAGGAUGACUGCCCUAUGGGUUGUAAACUUCUUUUAUAAAGGAAUAAAGUCGGGUAUGGAUACCCGUUUGCAUGUACUUUAUGAAUAAGGAUCGGCUAACUCCGUGCCAGCAGCCGCGGUAAUACGGAGGAUCCGAGCGUUAUCCGGAUUUAUUGGGUUUAAAGGGAGCGUAGAUGGAUGUUUAAGUCAGUUGUGAAAGUUUGCGGCUCAACCGUAAAAUUGCAGUUGAUACUGGAUAUCUUGAGUGCAGUUGAGGCAGGCGGAAUUCGUGGUGUAGCGGUGAAAUGCUUAGAUAUCACGAAGAACUCCGAUUGCGAAGGCAGCCUGCUAAGCUGCAACUGACAUUGAGGCUCGAAAGUGUGGGUAUCAAACAGGAUUAGAUACCCUGGUAGUCCACACGGUAAACGAUGAAUACUCGCUGUUUGCGAUAUACUGCAAGCGGCCAAGCGAAAGCGUUAAAUAUUCCACCUGGGGAGUACGCCGGCAACGGUGAAACUCAAAGGAAUUGACGGGGGCCCGCACAAGCGGAGGAACAUGUGGUUUAAUUCGAUGAUACGCGAGGAACCUUACCCGGGCUUAAAUUGCAGAUGAAUUACGGUGAAAGCCGUAAGCCGCAAGGCAUCUGUGAAGGUGCUGCAUGGUUGUCGUCAGCUCGUGCCGUGAGGUGUCGGCUUAAGUGCCAUAACGAGCGCAACCCUUGUUGUCAGUUACUAACAGGUUCCGCUGAGGACUCUGACAAGACUGCCAUCGUAAGAUGUGAGGAAGGUGGGGAUGACGUCAAAUCAGCACGGCCCUUACGUCCGGGGCUACACACGUGUUACAAUGGGGGGUACAGAGGGCCGCUACCACGCGAGUGGAUGCCAAUCCCCAAAACCUCUCUCAGUUCGGACUGGAGUCUGCAACCCGACUCCACGAAGCUGGAUUCGCUAGUAAUCGCGCAUCAGCCACGGCGCGGUGAAUACGUUCCCGGGCCUUGUACACACCGCCCGUCAAGCCAUGGGAGCCGGGGGUACCUGAAGUGCGUAACCGCGAGGAGCGCCCUAGGGUAAAACUGGUGACUGGGGCU
rnacentral:rRNA from 1 species